CUAGUAACAGGGCAGCCAAUCAUAUACAUUUAUCAACAUUAAGUGUCUUGAACAGUCUUCUAACUUCCUCUUUCUUGUCUGUGUCGACGAAAAGCCGUCGUAACUUUCCAUAACUUCCGAUAUUCCACCCAGUCUGUGUCCAGUACGUUACGCUGUGGAAACAAAGAGAAUGUACGAUAAAAUCCAAACUUUGGAACUGUAUGUUAUCCUUAUUCCUUAUGUUCCUUACAAUCGAUAUAACCAACUGAUAAAACAAGUUAUGUGUGUACAUAAAAAGGAUGGUGUACAUGCCCUUGAAAUUCCUUGUUACUUACCUUUGCGAGAGUCUUAAGACUCUCCUUAUGGACUGUCUCACGCCCACCGGGUGGGUGGGUGGGGAUAAUACUCGCCUCCGUGUCAUUAAUAAAAUCAUGACUUUACGUCAUGUUACUAGUAAAAUCUUGGAAUUUUAUUAAUGACACGGAGGCUUAUAUUAUGCUAGUUCAAAGCUUGGCCACUACCUGAAGAGAGAUAUGUUCAAUUGGCCGAAAAUAGAAUUCUCUGAACGUCGAUACUUGUGACCAAUCAGCGGCCUUUAAUAUGUCCUCGAGGCGACAACCAAUCGUUGACGCCUUGGAUGCCAUCGCGCCUCGAAUGUGCAGAGAAUUUCGAAGUGUCAAUUCCUGUUAAUGCUAACAGGUUCUUGACCCAACGAGCUAACGUGGGCGUGGACACUGGUAGAAAAGGGGUUCGAAAGGAUAUAAAUAAUUGACUUGAUGCAGGUGAGCGUAACUUCUGAGUACGAUCCAGGUAGGACCGAAGGCAUCUGACCGGACAAAGUGAGGGAUGUCCCGGGUAUCUCGGGUAAGAGAUAGAUUUUGUAUUGCCUUUAGUUCGUCUCGAUAUGGAGAAUGACACUCCCUCUGGGGUGAAUGAUAAUGCGUCCCAGUCCAAUGCUCGCACGUCCGAUAUCCUCUUGCAGGAUAGUAAGCAUAACAGAGUCAGCAGUUUCCAAGACAGGUGUUUAAAGGAGAGUUCCUCAUUUGGCCUCCAUUCUUCCAAGAAGUGUAAGACAAUGUUGACAUCCCAGAAUGAAGAAUAGCGGGUCUGUGGAGGUUUCUCAAAGCGUAUCCCCUUCAGGAGUCUACAAACGAAAGGAUGCUGACCGAUCGGGGAGCCUUCCAGGUUUCGGUGUCCUGCCGAGAUCGCCGACCUGUACACGUUAAUGGUACGAUACGCUCUUCCUUCUUCGAAAAGGGACGUCAAAAACUCCAGUACUUCUUUCAGAGGUGCUGAAACCGGAUCCACUGACCGUUCCAUGCACCAGCUAGCCCACACUCGCCAAGCAGAGUUAUAGGCUGCUCUGGUCCCUGGAGCCCAGGAGUUAUCCAUGAGUCUUGUAACCGUCUGUGGAAUGUCUGUGAACGUCCAGGGACUCCGGAAAUCAACCAGACCGUGAGUUGCAGCAAGCCCUGAUUGAUCAGGUUGUGCGGAUUCCCCUCUGGAUCCAAUAGCAAGUCUGGUGUUGAUGGUAUUACUCGUGGAGAGUCGAUUGCCAUUUCUAGUAGACGAGGAAACCACGGCUGAGCAUGCCAUAGUGGAACCACUAUCACUAGUGAACAGUCCUGUGUGCAUAGGUAUGAUAGUGUCCUGGAAAUGAGAUUGAAAGGGGGAAAUGCGUAAUGUCGAGACUUCGGCCACGUCUGCAGGAAAGCAUCCGUCCCCGAGGCUGUUGGAUCUGGUCGCCAGCUGAAGUAUCGAGGCAGAUGACUGUUCAGUCUGGAUGCAAAAAGGUCUACAUCCAGUGGUCCCCACAAUUCGUCUAUUUGGCAAAAGGUAGAGCGGAGAAGGCGCCAGUCUCCCGGAUCUCUCAGAUAUCUGGAAUUCCAGUCCGCUUGUACGUUGUCCAAGCCCGGAAUGUGUUCCGCUGUCACCGCAAUCUCGUUCCGAAGGCAAAACUGCCAAAAUUCUUUCGCUAGGUUUGCUAGUCGUUUAGAUUUGGUGCCUCCUAGAUGAUUGAUAUAACGGACUGCCGAGAUGUUGUCCAUACGGAGCAGUAUACAACAUCUCCCUACCGUAGGGGAGAGACUGCGGAUGGCGAACGAUCCUGCCAGAAGUUCCAGGCAAUUUAUGUGCAUUGUGGAUUCCUCCAUGGACCAUCUGCCACCGGUGGAUAUGUUGCCACAACGCGCGCCCCAGCCAUGGAGGCUUGCAUCCGAUUCUAUAAUCAGGUCCAGGCUGGUUCCAGAUAUUGCUCGGCCGUUCCACGCCUCCAUAUGGUCUAGCCACCACCUCAGCUCCUCCCGUGAUUCCACAUCCAGGACUAGUGCGGAUUCGUAUGAACGGCCGGACCUGAGGUGAGAACCUUUUAGCCGCUGUAGGGCACGAUAGUGUAGAGGCCCUGGGAAGAUGGCUUGUAUCGAGGAAGCCAGUAGUCCUAAGACUCGAGCUAGUUGUCGAAUAGAGAGAGAUUGAGCUCGUAAUGUGCGCCUGAUCUCUUUUUUGAUGGCCUUCAAUUUCGUUUCCGGGAGGAGUAAGAAUUGUGAGAUUGCGUCGAUCCGGAAUCCCAGGAACUCUAUCUUUUGGGCCGGAUUGGUUAUGGAUUUUUCCCAAUUUAUCAAAAAACCCAGAGUCUCGAGUAACGUGAUGGUCCACUGUAGGUGGAGCAGUACUUGGUCUUGUGAGGAUGCCAUGAUUAAAAUAUCGUCCAGAUAUAUGAUCAGAUGAACUCCUCGUGCUCUGAGAAAGGCUACCACAGGCUUCAUGAGUUUUGUGAAGCACCAGGGGGCUGAUGAGAGACCGAAGGGCAGACAUGUAAAUCUCCAACGUCGCCCUUGCCAUGUGAAAUGCAAGAGGUCCCAGUGUGCCUCCGCAAUAGGGACGGUGAGGUACGCGUCCUUGAGGUCCAAUUUGACCAUCCAAUCUCCCUGUUGUAGUAAAUCCCUGAGGCAAUGAAUGCCCUCCAUUUUGAAGUGUUGGUAUGCGAGGAACGCAUUGAGUUCCUUUAAGUUUAUGACUGGCCGCAUACCUCCGCCUUUUUUGGCUACCAAAAAUAAGUUGCUGGUAAAACCUAGUGUAUCGUAUGGGAUCUCUUGGAUUGCCCGUUUGGCAUGGAGAUCUGUAAUCUCCUUUGUUAUGAGUUUGGUUUGGUCUGGGGCCAGUGUCAGUUCUCUUGGGGCAUGGAUUUGGAAUGGGGUAGAUAAAAGGUCGAGAUAGAAACCCCUGACGGUUUGUAACACCCAAGCGUCUUUUGUGAGCUCGUCCCAUGCAUGCGCAAACAGCGCGAGCCUGCCCCCUAUGUGUAGAUGUGGAGGAAUAGAGAUAUUGCACUUACCGUAAGGUCGCCUGUAAGUAGAUUGCCUGCGGCUUCCCCGAGAAGGCCAUGGACGUCCCCUGGACGGAAAGAAGGGUGACGGCCGGAACUCCUGGUACGUGCGGGGCGCUCCGAAGGAGCCUCUAUGGACCCUGGAGGGGCCCCGAUAGACUCGGCCGGGUGGACGGCUCCUAGAUCUCCCGGCCCCGUGCAAAACCUUGGGGUUAAACACUCUCUUAAGGUUGGCCUGAGCCUUAUCUAAAGUGGUAAAAGUUUUGACAAAAGCCCCGAUGUCCUUGACAAAGGACUCUCCAAAUAACAUUCCCUGGGCUGUGGGUCCAGGUUCUCUAUUUGCCAAGUUAAUCAACUUAGGUUCAAUCUUAAGUAGAAUUGAUUUACGGCGUUCCGCCGAGAUGGCUGUGUUGGCAUUACCCAACAAGCAGAUAAGCCGUUGGACCCAUCCGAUGGCUACAUCGAAAUCAAUGGUGGACUCUCCCGCUUUAGCGGAUUCGAGUAAUUCAUAUAAUUUUGUGGUUGGCCCCAGGGUGUCUAGUAUUUUGUCUUGACAGCUGUGGAGUGAGAACUCCAGCCCCUUCUUGGGCUUCCAGCCAGAUUUUGAGAGGAAUUGGGCGAUAUGUGGGUCCACCAUGGGGGUUUUGCAGGCCAUGUCUGGUACGGAGGGUCUGGGACACUCUGCUCGGAGUUUAUUCCUACUCUCGUUAGAGAGAGGGGUACGCAGACGGAGCGCCAAAUACUGCGCAAUGUGCGUUGGUGGGUCCCACUCCGCCGAGCGAGGGUGGCGGAGGUUGUCCGGGUCGAACAGGGGAUACCCUUGAGGGUCCCGAACACCAUCCUACACACCCGUCGGUUCCACUACAGGACUAGACUCCUCAUCUGAGUCGGAAGCCAUAGCAUUGUAAAUAUAAUCCGGGUCGUCUGACCCCAUCUCCUCACUAUUGUCAGAAUCUGACUCUUCGUAUUGGGCACGUGCCCGUUUCCAAUUUCUGGCCGCUUGCGCCCGACCAGUGGCUCUUGUGCGUGGCAACAC
rnacentral:lncRNA from 1 species